CGUAAACAAAGGGAAGCGAAGGCGUGAGCGUAAGCAAAACCCAAAAAAUAAACGUCCCAGUUCGGAUUGUAGUCUGCAACCCGACUACAUGAAGCUGGAAUCGCUAGUAAUCGCGGAUCAGAAUGCCGCGGUGAAUACGUUCCCGGGUCUUGUACACACCGCCCGUCACACCAUGGGAGUCGGAAAUGCCCGAAGUCGGUGACUGAACCGAAAGGAAGGAGCCGCCGAAGGCAGGUCUGGUGACUGGGGUGAAGUCGUAACAAGGUAAC
rnacentral:rRNA from 1 species